rnacentral:rRNA from 1 species
UACGUAGGGUGCAAGCGUUGCCCGGAAUUAUUGGGCGUAAAGAGCUCGUAGGCGGUUUGUCGCGUCUGCUGUGAAAACUCGGGGCUUAACUCCGGGCCUGCAGUGGGUACGGGCAGACUAGAGUGCGGUAGGGGAGACUGGAAUUCCUGGUGUAGCGGUGAAAUGCGCAGAUAUCAGGAGGAACACCGGUGGCGAAGGCGGGUCUCUGGGCCUGACCUGACGCUGAGGAGCGAAAGCGUGGGGAGCGAACAGG